GUCCCUUUGUGUAUAUAUAGGGUCUGACCUGCCCACUGAAAUUUUAAAUGGCCGCAGUAAUUUGACUGUGCAAAGGUAGCAUAAUCAUUAGUUUUUUAAUUAAAAGCUUGUAUGAAAGGUUGGACAAAAUAAAUUCUGUCUCUAUUUAAAUUAAUUUAGAAUUUAACUUUUAAGUCAAAAGGCUUAAAUAAAAUUAAAAGACGAGAAGACCCUAUAGAUCUUUAUAAUUUUUUUUAUAAUUUUAAUUAAGAAUAUUUUAUUUUUUAUAAAAAAAAUUAUUUUAUUGGGGUAAUAGAAAGAUUAAACAAAUUCUUUUUUAAUAUAGACAUUUAUUUAUGAUUUAAUGAUCCAAUUUUAUUGAUUAUAAGAUUAAGUUACCUUAGGGAUAACAGCGUAAUUUUUUUAGAGAGUUCAUAUCGAUAAAAAAGUUUGCGACCUCGAUGUUGGAUUAAAAAUUAUAUUAGGCGUAGAAGUUUAAUAUUUUGGUCUGUUCGACCAUUAAAUUUUU
rnacentral:rRNA from 1 species